rnacentral:misc_RNA from 1 species
AACGCACAUUGCGCUUCCGGGAUAUGCCCGGUAGCAUACUUAUCUGAGUGUCUGUGAACACAACUCAGCAUUCGCAUACAUGUGGAUAGCUGGAAUAUGGGAUUGAUAGCAGCAAAUGAAGUCGUUGCGACAACAUUUGCUUGUAUCUUUUCUUAAAUGUUAGCUCGAAUGUCCUUACGUUGUUAAGGAUGAGAUUGAAUAAUGCUAGAUAAUCUAUUGUAUCUGGUCUUAUUUGUUCUCUCUGGAAAUGCUCUACAGUAUUCAAGAGUGAUAAGUAAGAUUCGAGGAGAAAGAUUGACUCUUGCACUAUCCCGAAUCGGAUCUCAGAUUAAGUAAGAUUACCCGCCGAAUUUAA